rnacentral:rRNA from 1 species
AACGCACCUUGCACCCUUUGGCAUUCCGAAGGGGUAUGCUCGUUUGAGUGUCAUUGUACUCUCACACUUCAGAUCGUUUGGAUCUGGAGCGGGUGGACUUGGGUGUUGCCGCUUUGCGGUGGCUCACCUCAAAUGGAUUUGUGCACCUCUUGGUUGGACAUAGUACGGCGUGAUAAGUGUCUUCGCCGGCACCUCGCAAGAGGGUGGCUGACCGAGAGCUCUGUGCUUUCAAACCGUCCUUGGCUUGGACAAUGACUGACAACUUGACCUCAAAUCGAGUAGGACUACCCGCUGAACUUA